rnacentral:rRNA from 1 species
UACGUAGGGAGCAAGCGUUGUCCGGAAUCAUUGGGCGUAAAGCGCGCGUAGGUGGCCUCAUAAGUCCGCUGUGAAAGUCAAAGGCUCAACCUUUGAAAGCCGGUGGAUACUGUGAGGCUAGAGUACGGAAGGGGCGAGUGGAAUUCCUGGUGUAGCGGUGGAAUGCGCAGAUAUCAGGAGGAACACCAAUAGCGAAGGCAGUUCGCUGGGACGUUACUGACACUGAGGCGCGAAAGCGUGGGGAGCGAACAGG